rnacentral:lncRNA from 1 species
AAAUAAACACCUUAUUCAAUGGACAUCUGAUUGCAAAGGAUGCAGCAAUACACUGACCCGAAUCUUCCCUUUCUGCAUCUCGGCAUGGAUCUUGGCCAACUGUCAGCUAAAUAAUACUUUUUGGAGUGUCAGAAGAGAUUCAGCAAUACCGCCAAAAAAUUAGCAAAACUCUGAAUUGCCUAAACUCAACUUUAGUAACUUUGUUCCAAAAAAAAAAAGGAAGAGAAUAUCCCACACUUGUAGGCUAGGUAUCUCUGCAUUUUCUCUUACCUGAGAGCAAAAUAAUCCUGCCUCAUGACCUUCAAAGUUACUGGGUGUCAGGGAGGCGCAGACGGAUUUCUAUCUCAGAGGAUGCCGAGCUGGAAAAUUUAUAGAGGUGCAUUGUUUGCCUCGGCUCCCAGCCGGGUGGGUGAGGCUUUUACGAGUCAAAUGCUAUAAAAGAGGCAACGUGACUCCCUUUUCCUUACCGUCCUGUGUUUCCACCCGGAGCCCAUCCUACAGGACAUGGCCAAUGAAGAGAAGCACCCAGAUUCCUGGCCAGGAGGGCUGCACCCGAAGAGCCCUCCUUAUGUAAGUGGGGUCCAAGGCAUACAGACUGCCAUUUGUGAUAAUCGACCUUGAGUUGUAUCGUCCGUCUCUUUCUGAACUCAAUUGGUUUGACAGUCUCCUCACUCCUGUCUGGAGCUCACCAAGACCCCCACGGUCUCAAACCACAAGCUGCUCAUCCUGACAGUGGGUGCCAUCGCUGCUUUUUCCAUCAGCAUCGUUGGGAUCCUCGUGGCGACGUUCCUGGGGAGAACAUCUUGUCUCCAGAGGGGCGCCUUUGGCUACCCCACACAAGUCAACGUCCAAAACGAAGCAUCUCUGCUGCUGGCUCUCAGCGGACUCGACGAGCAGGGCCUCUCACCCGGCAUUACCUGCGAUUUGAGAAACCACUUUAUGGUGUAUCACGGCCAGCCGGAGGGAUGUGUGACCCGCAAAAUGGACCCCGCUGAACUGCUGCCGUCCUGCCAGGAGCUGGAAAGCUUCUUCCAAGUUGUCCUAGUAACUCUCUGCUGCUCUGGGGCAAGGGAAAGGGGCGGGGAUGCAAAAAGCAGGUGCUCCCAGGUGCUCUGCAUAAAACGGUCCAGCCACCCAAGCUCCACUUCUUGCUCUUUCUCCAGCUGUUUCCCUCUUGCCUUGGGAAGCAGGGAAAUGGGGGCGAAGGGAAGGAGGAAAGGGGUGAUCUAAAGCCAAAUUUGCUCGACUCAGAUCCCAAUUCUCUUGCAGAAAAACAUCACUCUGGGGAUCACCGCAGAGGUACAGAUGAUGGGAACGGGGGCCCUGGGAGGCCUAGUCACUUUACUCUGCAGCAACAAGCCAAUAUACCUGGUUGGAAGCUCGGCAUUGGCUUUUCCGAAAACCAGAGCUACUUAGGAAAGAGAUCUCCUUAUUUCUUCCUGCUAAAAUCUUCCCCUGCCAUGGAAGAAGCCACAAGGCGGUUGCACGGCUGGGAAAGACAAACCACAAGAUGGAGACUGUCUUCCACCACCACGCCUUUAAAAAUUGCUGAAUUUGUAGCACUUAAUAAAGAGGAGA